GACGAACGCUGGCGGCGUGCCUAAUACAUGCAAGUUGAGCGCUGAAGGUUGGUACUUGUACCAACUGGAUGAGCAGCGAACGGGUGAGUAACGCGUGGGGAAUCUGCCUUUGAGCGGGGGAGAACAUUGGAAAACAAAUGCCAAUACCCCUUAAAACUUUUAACCAAAGGUUUCAGGUUUAAAUAUGGCAUUGCAAUAAUCAAAGAAUCUACCCGGGUUUAAUUAGUUAGUUGGGGAGGUAAAGGCCCACCAAGCGGUUGAUACAUAGCCGGCCUGAGAGGGUGAUCGGCCACAUUGGGAAUGAGACACGGCCCAAACUCCUACGGGAGGCAGCAGUAGGGAAUCUUCGGCAAUGGACGAAAGUCUGACCGAGCAACGCCGCGGGAGUGAAGAAGGUUUUCGGAUCGGAAAACUCUGUUGGUAGAGAAGAACGUUGGUGGGAGUGGAAAGCUCAUCAAGUGACGGUAACUACCCAGAAAGGGACGGCUAACUACGUG
rnacentral:rRNA from 1 species